UUGGGCCUAAUAGCUUUUUCGUAACCCAACUUUUCAUAACCCAAAAUAUGUCCACGGUUCCCAAAAAAAAUAUAAUUUUCAUGCACUAUCCACUGUUUAUAAUUUAAUUUCCAAAAUUACCCCUCCAGCCUUCCAUGUCAGCAGCCAUCUCCUUAUCCGUGUCAGCACGGGAAGUUGUGUUUUUAAUAAUUGAACACAAAAAUAUUAAGCUUUAGAGUUAGCAUUUGCAAAACCCACGACCCGACUCAAAAAUUUGGGGAAACGCUCUGACUUCCUCGCUUUUUGCCCUAUUCUCUCCUUUUGCCUGCAUUUUCAUGGGUGGUUUCUGGAAUCGGCGGUGGAGCUUCGUCUUCCUUUUGGAGUAAUCGCAGAUAUAUAUAUGGACUGUUUGCAAAAGGCAAGAUUCCAACAUUCAGGAUCCAGGUCUUUCUCUCUCUCUCUCUCUCUCCUUCCCUUCCCCCUCCCCCCUCCCACAAUACAUGCUUGCAUGAAAAUUGAAGGUUGAUUAUGCAUCAUUGGUCACUAAUAUGCACUUAUUUCUCUGGUUGAUGUGUCCAUGCAUCUGACUGUCCUUGGGCUAUUCCUUAAGUUAUGCAUGUAGUUAUUGUGAAUUCGUCUAUUUUAUUUGAAAAUUUCUUUUAAGUUGAUGGUCUAGACCAACUGAUUGCUUUUGGAUGUGGUAGUAAUGUCUCACUGAAAGUUGUUUUACAUCAGUAGUUGUGUGAAUGAUGACUGACAUUAAGGGUAUAUCAACUUUCCUCUGUGGCUAUAUGGUGUCACUGUUCUAAUUGCCAUUUAUUAGAAGCAUUUUUUUUUAAAUGUAUUAUUGUUAAGGAUGGUGAUAUUCUCUCCAUUAUAUGUGCCCAUGAGCCACAUUGUGAGAACACUGGAAAUUUAUCAAUACCUGUAGGUAGGACUUGCAGAAAGCUAUUUGAUGUUUCUUGUGAUCUGGCCCAGUAUGUCAAUUCUCCACUGAAUUGUCUUUUUAUUGGCAUGUCUUGUUCUUCUUAGUGAUACCCAUACCCGGAGGAACUUUUCAAGCCCUGUUUCUCCUAUUGGGAGCCCUCUUUUGCAUUCAAGAUCACCACAACAUAUGAGUGGGAGGAUGUCUCCCUCUCCCAUAUGAGUGGAAUUUUCAGAAGUCCAAUUUUUAGAUUUAAUUUUUGAAAAACUCCAAUUUCCAAGUAAUUUUCAAAACUCUAAUUUUCAAAAUUCCAAUUUUCAAAUAAUUUUUAAAAUUUCAAUUUUCAAAUUUAUUUUUUAAAACUCCAAUUUCCAAGUAAUUUUCAAUACUCUAAUUUUCAAAUAAUUUUAAAACUCCAAUUUUCAAAACUUUAAUUUUCAAAAUUUCAAAUUUAUUUUUUUAAAACUCAAAUUUCCAAGUAAUUUUCAAAACUAUAAUUUUCGAAUAAUUUUCAAAACUCCAAUUUUCACAUAGUUUUCAAAACUCUAGCUUAUCAAAUAAUUUUAAUUCCACUCCGGUUUUCAAAAUAAUUUUCAUGCCACUCCGGUUUUUGAAAUAAUUUUAAGUCCUCAACUUUCAUCCUUCAUUAGGAUUUUAGGUCACCGAAAAUCCCGAUUUUAAUACGCUUGCUGUCAUUCUCAUUCUAGCAUGCACUUGUACAAAUUUUCUUUGAUUUUCAAAUAAUUUUUUGUUUCUCUUGAUUUUAAAUAAGCAUGAAUAUGAUUUUCAUGAUUCCAAAAUAAUGGAAUUUAUGGGAUUAAUUCAUGCAAAAUAAAUUGGGCUUUGGUGGGGCCCAACAUCCAUGAUGUUUUUCUUUAAAAAUGAUUUGAGUGAAGUGCAUAAUUGCCAUUAAUGAUUCCUUGCUCUGUUUUGUGACACCUACAAUAUGUUUUGUAUUCUUUAUUGUGUCCUAACCCCAUUUCAUGAUAACACACUAUUACUUGCUAUGUAUUAAAUCACAUAAUAUAGAUUCAAACAAUGAACAAAAUAAUAAUGAACUAGAUAAUCAAAUAGGAAAUAUAGAACUCAACGGAGUUUAAAUAAAUUUAUUUCCUAUUUUUAGGUUUUCUGAGCAUGAGAUGUACUCAGAGUGUAGUAUAUGUUUUGAUGCGUUUGCAGAUGGGGAUGAGAUUAUUAUCCUCCCAGUCUGUAGGCACAUUUAUCGUAAUCAUUGUAUUACUCCUUGGUUUACAUCUCAUUCUAACUGUCCACUUUGUCGUUAUAACUAUAGUGGUUAUAGUUUAGAUGAUUAGAUUUUAUUGUACACAAUUUGAAUUUACAUUGUUCCUACUUCCUUUGAAUUAUAUGUAAUAAAUUUUUUAUAUUUGAAUAUUUUUCUUCAAGUUGGGAAGGAAUGUUAUGCUUAAUUUAUAAAAUCUUUAACAUAUUUUAUUGAUAUAAAUAAACAUCGGGACAUGAGUAUGGGAACGCAUCAUGCAAAAUGCGGGGUCCACGAUAUCCCAAUUAGAAUUUCAUGGAGAGCACAAUAUCGUCAGAUGAGGACUUUUUAUUACCUUUUAGAGAGCACGUCCAUUCAUUUUUUGUGGGGAUCUCCUAUUAAGAGGAGGGAGAAGGGAGGGGAAGAAAAAGAAAAGAAUCGGAGAAGGGAGGUGGUUGAUCUUGGAAGCUAAGGGAAAUGAGGGAUUUGCUUGAAGCUAAGCACAUAUUGCUUGAGUGGAGAUUACCCAAGUAUGGUUACUAUGUCUUCAAUGUUUCCAUUAAAACCUUGUUCUUCUUCUCUGUUUGUCUUCUCUUCACUACCCUUUGUUGUUGCGCAUGGGUAGGCUUGAUAUGUAUAUAAAAGUUGUUUCUGGUAAUAGAGAUUUUCAUCACUGAAUGAACCCAUUUUAAAAGAAAUUUUCUGUCGGAUGAGGACUUUUUAUUUCCUUUUAGAGAGCACAUCCAUUCAUUUUUUGUGGGGCUCUCCUAUUAGAGGAGGGAGAAGGGAGGGAAAGAAAAAGAAAAGAAUCGGAGAAGGGAGGUUGUUGAUCUUGGAAGCUAAGGGAAAUGAGGGAUUUGCUUGAUGCUAAACACAUAUUGCUUGAGUGGAGAUUACCCAGGUAUGGUUACUAUGUCUUCAAUGUUUCCAUUAAAAUCUUAUGCUUCUCUGUUUAUCUUCUCUUCACUGCCCUUUGUUGCGCAUGCAUUCAUUUUUUGUGGGGAUCUCCUAUUAGAGGAGGGAGAAUGGAGGGGAAGAAAAAGAAAAGAAUCAGAGAAGGGAGGUUGUUGAUCUUGGAAGCUAAGGGAAAUGAGGGAUUUGCUUGAUGCUAAGCACAUAUUGCUUGAGUGGAGAUUACCCAGGUAUGGUUACUAUGUCUUCAAUGUUUCCAUUAAAACCUUGUUCUUCUCUGUUGAUCUUCUCUUCACUGCCCUUUGUUGCGCAUGCAUUCAUUUUUUGUGGGGAUCUCCUAUUAGAGGAGGGAGAAGGGAGGGGAAGAAAAAGAAAAGAAUCGGAGAAGGGAGGUUGUUGAUCUUGGAAGCUAAGGGAAAUGAGGGAUUUGCUUGAUGCUAAGCACAUAUUGCUUGAGUGGAGAUUACCCAGGUAUGGUUACUAUGUCUUCAAUGUUUCCAUUAAAUCCUUGUUCUUCUCUGUUUAUCUUCUCUUCGCUGCCCUUUGUUGCGCAUGCAUUCAUUUUUUGUGGGGAUCUCCUAUUAGAGGAGGGAGAAGAGAGGGGAAGAAAAAGAAAAGAAUCGGAGAAGGGAGGUUGUUGAUCUUGGAAGCUAAGGGAAAUGAGGGAUUUGCUUGAAGCUAAGCACAUAUUGCUUGAGUGGAGAUUACCCAUGGUUACUAUGCUUUCAAUGUUUCCAUUAAAACCUUGUUCUUCUCUGUUUAUCUUCUCUUCAUUGCCCUUUGUUGGGCAUGCAUUGAUUUUUACUGGGGAUCUCCUAUUAGAGGAGGGAGAAGGGAGGGGAAGAAAAAGAAAAGAAUCAGAGAAGGGAGGUUGUUGAUCUUGGAAGCUAAGGGAAACGAGGGAUUUGCUUGAUGCUAAGCACAUAUUGCUUGAGUGGAGAUUACCCAGGUAUGGUUACUAUGUUUUCAAUGUUUCCAUUAAAACCUUGUUCUUCUCUGUUUAUCUUCUCUUCACUGCCCUUUGUUGGGCAUGCAUUGAUUUUUACUGGGGAUCUCCUAUUAGAGGAGGGAGAAGGGAGGGGAAGAAAAAGAAAAGAAUCGGAGAAGGGAGGUUGUUGAUCUUGGAAGCUAAGGGAAAUGAGGGAUUUGCUUGAUGCUAAGCACAUAUUGCUUGAGUGGAGAUUACCCAGGUAUGGUUACUAUGUCUUCAAUGUUUCCAUUAAAACCUUGUUCUUCUCUUUUUAUCUUCUCUUCACUGCCCUUUGUUGCGCAUGCAUUCAUUUUUUGUGGGGAUCUCCUAUUAGAGGAGGGAGAAGGGAGGGGAAGAAAAAGAAAAGAAUCGGAGAAGGGGGGUUGUUGAUCUUGGAAGCUAAGGGAAAUGAGGGAUUUGCUUGAUGCUAAGCACAUAUUGCUUGAGUGGAGAUUACCCAGAGGAGGGAGAAGGGAGGGGAAGAAAAAGAAAAGAAUCGGAGAAGGGAGGUUGUUGAUCUUGGAAGCUAAGGGAAAUGAGGGAUUUGCUUGAUGCUAAGCACAUAUUGCUUGAGUGGAGAUUACCCAGGUAUGGUUACUAUGUCUUCAAUGUUUCCAUUAAAACCUUGUUCUUCUCUUUUUAUCUUCUCUUCACUGCCCUUUGUUGCGCAUGCGUUCAUUUUUUGUGGGGAUCUCCUAUUAGAGGAGGGAGAAGGGAGGGGAAGAAAAAGAAAAGAAUCGGAGAAGGGAGGUUGUUGAUCUUGGAAGCUAAGGGAAAUGAGGGAUUUGCUCGAUGCUAAGCACAUAUUUGCUUGAGUGGAGAUUACCCAGGUAUGGUUACUAUGUCUUCAAUGUUUCCAUUAAAACCUUGUUCUUCUCUGUUUAUCUUCUCUUCACUGCCCUUUGUUGCACAUGGGUCGGCAAGCUCUGCAACUUAUUGCUCCUAUUCUUCUUCGCUGGUGUCUCUCUUGUUGAGCCUCGGACUUUGCAGUUUUGUUUGGAGUCCUACUGGUGUUUAGUCGUUUUUGUUCAUUAUUUAGCAUUCAGCUCUUGCUCGUGUAUUUGAGCAUAAGAAUGUCUGUUUCUUGGGUAUGUUGUAAACAGUGUUUGAAAUAUAUUUUUCUCUGAAAUUUCGGU